rnacentral:rRNA from 1 species
GAUAAACGCUGGCGGCGUGCUUAACACAUGCAAGUCGAACGAAGUUUUUCCUUCGGGAGACACUUAGUGGCGGACGGGUGCGUAACGCGUGGGUAACCUGCCCUGUACAGGGGGACAACAGCUGGAAGCGGCUGCUAAUACCGCAUAAGCACUUAGCACUGCAUGGUGCAUAGGGAAAAGGAGCAAUCCGGUACAGGAUGGACCCGCGUCUGAUUAGCCAGUUGGCAGGGUAACGGCCUACCAAAGCGACGAUCAGUAGCCGAUCUGAGAGGAUGUACGGCCACAUUGGGACUGAGACACGGCCCAGACUCCUACGGGAGGCAGCAGUGGGGAAUAUUGCACAAUGGAGGAAACUCUGAUGCAGCGACGCCGCGUGAGUGAAGAAGUAUUUCGGUAUGUAAAGCUCUAUCAGCAGGGAAGAAAAUGACGGUACCUGACUAAGAAGCACCGGCUAAAUACGUG